UACAGAGGUCCCAAGCGUUGUUCGGAUUCACUGGGCGUAAAGGGUGCGUAGGUGGUGAGGUAAGUCGGAUGUGAAAGCUCGGAGCUCAACUCCGAAAUGGCAUUGGAAACUACCUUGCUCGAGGGUUGGAGGGGGGACUGGAAUGCUUGGUGUAGCAGUGAAAUGCGUAGAUAUCGAGAGGAACACCUGCGGCGAAGGCGGGUUGCUGGGCUGACACUGACGCUGAUGUGCGAAAGCUAGGGGAGCGAACGGG
rnacentral:rRNA from 1 species